rnacentral:tRNA from 2 species
GCGCGGUUAGCUCAGUGGUAGAGCACUACCUUGACACGGUAGGGGUCACAGGUUCGAAACCUGUAUCGCGCACCA